CAGUAGUAAUGAGAAGUUGGUGCUGUCCUCACGGGUCAGGAUGGCCACCGCUUCCUCUCGGUUCUGAACUUCCAUCCCAUUUAUCUAAUGUGGAACAGACGGAGCCAUCACUCACAGCCACAUUCAAACACAAAAGGUUUUCCUUUGAUGGAGCUUUGACUUUGACAUCAAACAAUGAAACAGUUCUGGCCAUUUACACCCAGACCCACACAUACACUAAUGAGAACUGAUAAAGAGGGAGAGGACAUUGAAGACGCUCACAGGUCAUUCAGCAGGAAGUUUUGGAAGCUAAUGUCGGUCUGGGUGCCAUUGUCCACGCAGUCUGUGAUAGCCAUGAGCCGAGCCGUGCCAGCGGCCGCACCUAAUCUUCUCCUGUGACCCUUACGUACUACCUGAAGCAGCAGAGGAUCAUGAGGCUGCCCAUCCUUGUCCUGGGACAGGCCCCACUGCUGUUUUAAUUGAGGUCCAACCCGGGAAGCGGGAUCAGAGACGCUGUAGCAUCCAGCCGUGAGAAAGUCAAGGUUUGAUCUCUGAUGAAUGGAGCUUCUGAUGUCUGUGUGCUUUUACUCAGCUUUCAAUAUACUCCAACAUAUAUACUGGUUCAAUGUGACAGCCUUUAAAACUUCACCUAUGACAGAAUUAUGAUGACGGGAAUCAGACAGUAUUAUAUUACACAGAAAAUGUUUCAUAUCCCCAAAGUCUCUGCACUUGAAACAAGCAGCGAGCCGAGGAUUAAAUUCACAGAUCCCACCGUGUCAGAACAAUAUAAUCAAAGAUGAGAUCUGCUCAACGUAAACUCCCUGGUGCCAAAGUCGUAGACAAGUACAUGAAUUAUUAAAUAAAAGAUGCAAUAAACAAAUAUUUACUUUCCGCGCUCCGUAUUCCCCUGAGUGAUCCCUUCCUUCACUCUCUGUUUCUAUUAUUAGAGAGCUUGUUCCCUUCAUUUACAUAUAACAACACUCUGUAGGCGCAGACAUGCACGUCAUGCUAUUUGAAGUGCUUUAAAACAUGUUGCUCGAGUCUGUGACUAGUGCCUGCUGCAGUACUGACUUGUUAAGUAUUUCCGAUGUUAUUCUCUACAGUAAAACAUUCUUGCAAUUACAAGAUGCUCAUUAGCCUUCAGUAUAACUGCAAGUCUAAUGCCGUGCCUAAUUUCAUAUUCCCCCUGCAUAACAUGUUGUAUUUGACACCUGCAUGUAUUUAUCUACAAAAGCACUCUAUGACUGUGUCAUCAUCUUUUCCUCGUCCUCUAUAAAGUGGGGAUGUAAUCCCACCUCUCAUUUGCACUCACUGUGCAGAUAAGAGUCUGUCGUUCACAGAUCACAUCAAACCUGCCCUCUUCCUUUCUUCCUGGAAUUCCAGCUGCGUGUUCAUGGCAGAAAAUGAAUGAGCAAGUGCACCUGUCAGAUCAUGUCAGAAACAGCCUCUCUCGCACUACAGAGGUAAGCUCAGCUCUUUCUCCGAACCAGAUGUCAGUCUACAAGGACAGGUCUCUCCAUCACAUGACGGAGAGAUGAUUGAAAGGGAUGAAGUGGAGUCUUGGAAGUAUCUGAUCUUCAGCAGGGAAUGAAUUGAACGCUGCCCUUACAUCUGCUUAGCUUCCGAGAGAAAUCCAGAUUCAGGAGAGGUGCAUAUUAGUCCACUGCUAAAUGAUGUUCCCUUAUGUUUCUGCUCCUUGCGUCUGCAUAUUUGGGAUGUAAUCCAGCUUGCUUGAGCGUUUGAAGAUAAAUUAACUGGAGCUGUGCGUUUCCAACGAGAAAAACAAAGUCAUUCAGUCAGAUGGUGGGAUGGUGAAUCCGAAAAAUCCGUUUGAGAAUGUCUCAAGGCUGUGCUGGAGCGGCGCCAGCCCAGCGCUCGUACAUGUGUGUCUGCAGAGAGAGGAAAAGCUGCUGGGUUGGAGGAAAUGUGGGGAUCGGCACCACUGCACAAGCUGGAGCCCAUUACAGCUUUACAGCAGGCCCCUCCUCUCCCGGCAAUACCAGCCAAUAUUCACCAGCCAGCUCUCAACUCUCCCUCUCUCUCUCUCUCUCUCUCUCUCUCUCUCAGCCUCUCUCUUGUACUUAUAGAUGAUAGCUUCACCCUCCCACCUUCCUUUCCUGCUUCCCUCAUAUCUUAUUUCCCAGCCCCUCGUUGCUGUGUCUCUCUCUUUCUCUCUGUCACCUGUACUGGGAGACGCUCUUUGUUGCCUGUGGUGAAAGGGGCUGAGGAUGCUGUCAGUCUCUGGCUGUCAGCACACAAACAGAAUUUAUGACCACAUAGACCAAGCAGCUUUGAGUAGCGUGACACUUCCUUGUGGCCAAUCUUUUUUUGUCUGAAAGCUUGCAACCAUACUUCAAGAAUGUUUGCAAUAAUGUACAAAUGUUAUUCAUAAUACAAAAAUGAAUGAAAUUUAAAAAAAUGUUUAUUUUAAUUAUUAUUUUUGUUUUUGUUAAAAUAAUAAUGGUGUACUCAGUCAUUUUUCCUCAUUAAAAAGAAAUGAUUAGUA